ACGGCGGUCGGACAAUCGUCUCGGACUCUGACCUUUUUUCCAAUCUGCGAAUGUUAGCUGAUAUACAAAUAAAAAGAAAUAACACGGCCGGGCUGCAUUUGUAGGUGCGCAAUAUUUUCCCCAAGGGCGAGCCUCGCGUCCGUCUUGUGACUGUCGUAUGGGAAUCUUAGAACUUCUCAAGUGUUAGGGUGCAAAAGUAAGGUACUGGAGAGAUCGUCGCUGGAUUGUUUUGAAAUUUAAAUCAAAAUAAAAUUACGAUUAGAAAGUGCUGCGAUCGAACUUUUGUUUUCCUCAUCUUUGCCGAGUCUCAUUGUCCAUAACUACUUUGCUGCUUGGUCCUCUCAAUUUGCGUCGUCUUAAAUUUCAUCGUACCCUUUAACCACGAGACUCGCUUACAGUUAAGAAGAAGGAAGGUUGAGUUACUGUAACAAAAAAGAUUUGUUUUAACCGGCUGUCAAAAUGAGCGUAAUAAUAAGGCUGCAGAAUCUGGCUUGGUCCGCAAAUGCACUCGACAUCCGUCAGUUCUUCCGCGGCCUUAGCAUACCCGAAGGUGGCGUUCACAUCGUUGGUGGAGAACUGGGAGAUGCUUUCAUAGC